AAUGUGAAAAAAAACUAGCUCCAGCAUGAUCUUCUAUUAAUGAGUGGAAUUACAACUGACACAUUUCUUCUCCAUUCUCCAGCUCUCAUAGAAGCUGAAGAUAUAGACUGAUGAUGGCAUGAGACUUCGUGGAAACUUCUAGAAAUAUAUAUUGCCCCAAACGGAUCAGUCACAAAUAGGCCCUCCCUAGCAGGCAGUCAAGCACAGUGCUGUUUUUUUUUUUCUUCAGCUUCUUAAAAACAUCAGACAUUCUCUGUUCUAACCCAUCUCUUAGAACACUUGGCUGGGAUUGUACCAAGUCCAACACUACACUUGACUGUGUCAUGCAAAAUUGUGUGAUUGUUGACUAGACAAUGUAAUGUUAUGAAGACUUGCACUUAACUUUUCAUGUUCAUGUCAUCAUUGCUGUGUCAUUGCAUUUUGAGAACACUGUAUACAGGAACACUCUGCCACAUUGCUGCUUAGUAUGUUGUACUUUAUUCUGGAAACUUUUUCACAGUUAAAUAUUAGUUUGUUUACCCCUGUCCACAUUUUUAUAUAAAUAUAUAUAAAGCAGUUUCCAUUAAAUGUAGUGAGUCCAGAAAUUAAUUCAAUAAACUAUUCACACUGUUUUAUCAUUAUUGUUUACUCUCUACAACUUUGAAUGUCUUUACAUUUAUCAAGAAGCAUUUUUUAAAAACACAAUUCUUUUAAAAUGAAUGAUACUAUCAUACUCAGAGUUAAAAAAAAAUGAUGCUUCAGUUGCUUGUAACCUAAGGUUGUUCUGCUAAAGUAGUUCAGAUUAGGAUAGUGCUCAGGACAAUGUAAGUUUGACUAUAUUUUGAUGGGACACUUGUGCUUUAUGUCUUAAAAAUACUGAUACUGUCAUUAUUCAUUCUGUAAUUUUUUAUAUUUUUUUAAAGACUUCCUUCUUACAUCUUGCACACAAGAACAAAUUGAUGGUUUCAUCAUUUUUGCUUGUAAUACCUUUUUUUUUUUAAGAGUGUUUAUCUUAUUAGGCACUGAUUUUGUUGUAAAAAAAACUUUUACUCUGUUCUAAGUGAAAGCAUAUCAAAUGUUUUUUUAACCAUAAGAUAAUUCUCCACAAAAUUUUUUUUUCAAGACAGUUCUGCUAGGAGAUAGUGAAUAUUAGCUUGCUGAAUUAAGUCCUCAUGGUGUUCUCUAUAUACAGGUGUUCUAAAGCAAAUUCUGAAACUUUUAGAGAUCUUCAGGCAGGGUCUCAUCCUAAGUAGUUUGUUUGGAAUUAUUUAAAAAAUUGUUUUUUUCAAAGAUACUCUACUAUUGUUAAUAAAAGGUCAUUUAUUGAAGCAUGAAAGUUUGAACAAAGUUUAUUGUGGUUUCUGUAAAUGAUAUAAAUUUUUACAUAACUUUUUUUAAUAGCUUGAAUCAAAACAAAGCAGCACAUCAGAAGUAUUGUCAGAUAUUUUUUUUUGUUAUAAUUGUAUAGCAUAUAUAUAAAUGGGCAUACACUUGAUAGGAAUCAGAAACUUGGGCUGAGGGUUUAUUCAUUUUAUUUGAGUUACAACUAGGUUUUAUUUAAUGACUAACCACUAGGAUUGUUACAACAUUGUGCAGGUACAGUAAGACAGAAUUGCCUAACUGGUCAAGUAGAAUUUGUUUUUUGAUUGUUGCUUUGAAUUAAACCUCAUGAUAAAUACAGAAAUGUUUUUAUUUUUAUCUGUCAUAAAGAUAAUAUUUUGGAACAUAUCACAUUAAAUGGUUUGAAACAAAGCAAAACUUUUAGAUAUGUUCUGUUGUGUUAGUUACAAGAGUAUUUUAUGCCACUGUAUAUUUGUCCUGGGCGCAUCCAUUGUCUUACGAGACAGAAGGAGCCAUAUGUAUAUAUAUAUGUAUAUAUUAUACAUAUAUAUAUAUAUAUAUAUA